CUACCUGUCAUUUGAGAACAAGUUGAACGCAGUAACUACGCGUUCAUUGAUAGUAUCAGAAGAGGAAGGGACGGCUAACUCUGUGC
rnacentral:rRNA from 1 species